rnacentral:rRNA from 1 species
UACGUAGGGGGCUAGCGUUAUCCGGAUUUACUGGGCGUAAAGGGUGCGUAGGUGGACUUUCAAGUCGGAGGUUAAAGGCUACGGCUCAACCGCUGUAAGCCGUCGAAACUGGAAGACUUGAGAACAGGAGAGGAAAGUGGAAUUCUCAGUGUAGCGGUGAAAUGCGUAGAUAUUGAGAAGAACACCAGUAGCGAAGGCGGCUUUCUGGACUGAAUCUGACACUGAGGCACGAAAGCGUGGGUAGCAAACAGG